rnacentral:rRNA from 1 species
AACGAACGAUGGCGGCAGGCCUAACACAUGCAAGUCGAGCGAGGACUUCGGUCCUAGCGGCGGACGGGUGAGUAACGCGUGGGAACGUGCCCUUUGCUUCGGAAUAGCUCUGGGAAACUGGGAGUAAUACCGGAUGAGCCCUUUGGGGGAAAGAUUUAUCGGCGAAGGAUCGGCCCGCGUUGGAUUAGGUAGUUGGUAGGGUAAUGGCCUACCAAGCCGACGAUCCAUAGCUGGUUUGAGAGGAUGAUCAGCCACCCUGGGACUGAGACACGGCCCAGACUCCUACGGGAGGCAGCAGUGGGGAAUCUUAGACAAUGGGGGAAACCCUGAUCUAGCCAUGCCGCGUGAGCGAUGAAGGCCUUAGGGUUGUAAAGCGCUUUCAGCUGGGAAGAUAAUGACGGUACCAGCAGAAGAAGCCCCGGCUAACUCCGUG